rnacentral:misc_RNA from 1 species
AAGUCGUAACAAGGUUUCCGUAGGUGAACCUGCGGAAGGAUCAUUUCCAAACAAACAUCUUUACAAACCAACCUUGUGAACUGUUUUGGGUUCUUUUACUCUUGGGAAUAGGAGCGCUGUGUUGUCUUUGGACAUUGCAGGCACACUCCGACCUCCCAAGAGGCCAUGAUGAACUACCUUCGGGUUGAUAGUUAUCGUUCUUUUUGUGAUCAAAGCAAAAAUAAAUGAUACGACAACUUUUAACGGUGGAUCUCUUGGCUCGU